UACGUAGGGGGCAAGCGUUGUCCGGAAUUAUUGGGCGUAAAGCGCGCGCAGGCGGUCCUUUAAGUCUGAUGUGAAAGCCCACGGCUCAACCGUGGAGGGGCAUUGGAAACUGGGGGACUUGAGUGCAGAAGAGGAAAGCGGAAUUCCACGUGUAGCGGUGAAAUGCGUAGAGAUGUGGAGGAACACCAGUGGCGAAGGCGGCGCCCUGGUCCGAUACUGACGCUGAGGCGCGAAAGCGUGGGGAGCAAACAGG
rnacentral:rRNA from 1 species